rnacentral:rRNA from 1 species
GACGAACGCUGGCGGCGUGCUUAACACAUGCAAGUCGAACGAAGAGCGAUGGAAGCUUGCUUCUAUCAAUCUUAGUGGCGAACGGGUGAGUAACGCGUAAUCAACCUGCCCUUCAGAGGGGGACAACAGUUGGAAACGACUGCUAAUACCGCAUACGAUCUAAUCUCGGCAUCGAGGAUAGAUGAAAGGUGGCCUCUACAUGUAAGCUAUCACUGAAGGAGGGGAUUGCGUCGGAUUAGCUAGUUGGAGGGGUAACGGCCCACCAAGGCGAUGAUCAGUAGCCGGUCUGAGAGGAUGAACGGCCACAUUGGGACGGAGACACGGCCCAGACGCCUACGGGAGGCAGCAGUGGGGAAUCUUCCGCAAUGGGCGAAAGACUGACGGAGCAACGCCGCGUGAGUGAGGACGGCCUUCGGGUUGUAAAGCUCUGUUAAUCGGGACGAAAGGCCUUCUUGCGAAUAGUGAGAAGGAUUGACGGUACCGGAAUAGAAAGCCACGGCUAACUACGUG